rnacentral:rRNA from 1 species
AACUACCUACGGGGCGCAGCAGUAGGGAAUCUUCCACAAUGGACGAAAGUCUGAUGGAGCAACGCCGCGUGAGUGAAGAAGGGUUUCGGCUCGUAAAGCUCUGUUGGUAGUGAAGAAAGAUAGAGGUAGUAACUGGCCUUUAUUUGACGGUAAUUACUUAGAAAGUCACGGCUAACUACGUGCCAGCAGCCGCGGUAAUACGUAGGUGGCAAGCGUUGCCCGGAUUUAUUGGGCGUACA